rnacentral:rRNA from 1 species
AUGAACGCUAGCUACAGGCUUAACACAUGCAAGUCGAGGGGCAGCAUGGUCUUAGCUUGCUAAGGCCGAUGGCGACCGGCGCACGGGUGAGUAACACGUAUCCAACCUGCCGUCUACUCUUGGACAGCCUUCUGAAAGGAAGAUUAAUACAAGAUGGCAUCAUGAGUCCGCAUGUUCACAUGAUUAAAGGUAUUCCGGUAGACGAUGGGGAUGCGUUCCAUUAGAUAGUAGGCGGGGUAACGGCCCACCUAGUCUUCGAUGGAUAGGGGUUCUGAGAGGAAGGUCCCCCACAUUGGAACUGAGACACGGUCCAAACUCCUACGGGAGGCAGCAGUGAGGAAUAUUGGUCAAUGGGCGAGAGCCUGAACCAGCCAAGUAGCGUGAAGGAUGACUGCCCUAUGGGUUGUAAACUUCUUUUAUAAAGGAAUAAAGUCGGGUAUGGAUACCCGUUUGCAUGUACUUUAUGAAUAAGGAUCGGCUAACUCCGUGCCAGCAGCCGCGGUAAUACGGAGGAUCCGAGCGUUAUCCGGAUUUAUUGGGUUUAAAGGGAGCGUAGAUGGAUGUUUAAGUCAGUUGUGAAAGUUUGCGGCUCAACCGUAAAAUUGCAGUUGAUACUGGAUAUCUUGAGUGCAGUUGAGGCAGGCGGAAUUCGUGGUGUAGCGGUGAAAUGCUUAGAUAUCACGAAGAACUCCGAUUGCGAAGGCAGCCUGCUAAGCUGCAACUGACAUUGAGGCUCGAAAGUGUGGGUAUCAAACAGGAUUAGAUACCCUGGUAGUCCACACGGUAAACGAUGAAUACUCGCUGUUUGCGAUAUACUGCAAGCGGCCAAGCGAAAGCGUUAAGUAUUCCACCUGGGGAGUACGCCGGCAACGGUGAAACUCAAAGGAAUUGACGGGGGCCCGCACAAGCGGAGGAACAUGUGGUUUAAUUCGAUGAUACGCGAGGAACCUUACCCGGGCUUAAAUUGCAGAUGAAUUACGGUGAAAGCCGUAAGCCGCAAGGCAUCUGUGAAGGUGCUGCAUGGUUGUCGUCAGCUCGUGCCGUGAGGUGUCGGCUUAAGUGCCAUAACGAGCGCAACCCUUGUUGUCAGUUACUAACAGGUUCCGCUGAGGACUCUGACAAGACUGCCAUCGUAAGAUGUGAGGAAGGUGGGGAUGACGUCAAAUCAGCACGGCCCUUACGUCCGGGGCUACACACGUGUUACAAUGGGGGGUACAGAGGGCCGCUACCACGCGAAUGGAUGCCAAUCCCCAAAACCUCUCUCAGUUCGGACUGGAGUCUGCAACCCGACUCCACGAAGCUGGAUUCGCUAGUAAUCGCGCAUCAGCCACGGCGCGGUGAAUACGUUCCCGGGCCUUGUACACACCGCCCGUCAAGCCAUGGGAGCCGGGGGUACCUGAAGUGCGUAACCGCGAGGAGCGCCCUAGGGUAAAACUGGUGACUGGGGCU